GGCUGGUCCGAUAGUAGUGGGAUAUUGUCAGAACUUAACAUUAAUGCCACUAAAGUUGAUAUACAAUCUCCCACUGCCAAAUUUGGCUUUUA
ensembl:misc_RNA Y_RNA Y RNA